UAACCUCAAGAAGCUCCAGAAAUUGUACAUUCUAGGUGGAGCUGACGUCGCGCAUCUCGGUGGAAGGGACCCCAAGCUAGAGAACCCCAACGUUGCAAUUAG
rnacentral:ribozyme from 1 species